AUGGGAUUCGGAGGAGGCUACCCGUGGUCACGCGGGCAAUGGCGGUGGAUAAGGGGGGGCUNNNNNNNNNNNNNNNNNNNNNNNNGGGAAGAUGGGAUUCGGAGGAGGCUACCCGUGGUCACGCGGGCAAUGGCGGUGGGUAAGGGGGGGCUACCGUGUUGGUCUUCCAGGUGCCCGGGACCGGAAUUGCCAGGAGUGAGGGCGGAUGUCCCGCCCCGCACACUGUGCAGUGGUUCCCUUGGUGACGGUAAACCAGCCUUGAGUGCCAGCGCUUCAAAUCACCCAGAGACUCCGAGGGCCACCAGAGACCUCUGGGUGAGGCAGGCUCGCGGAGACUCAAAGACUCGGAGUCCCAGGUUAUGCAGUGCUUUGUGGUGGAGUGCAUAGGAGACAGUGAAAUGCUGUGUAAAUUCUGCCUUCACCAGAAUGGCUUCAUCACAAUGGCCCAUACCUAUGAUUUGAGCAUGCUGAAAGGCUGAAGCAGGAGGAUCACAAGUUCAAGUUCAAAAGAAAACAACUCAAGAAAAGAAAAAUGGAAGGAAGAAUCUUCAGUGGAAAAUGGAUGAGUGCUUUUUGUUGAGAGAACUAAGGCACUCUGCUUAAUUUUGUUUUUUUUGUUUUGUUUUGUUUUUGUUUUUGGUACUGGGAUCUAACUCGGGUCCUUGCCCCAGGCGGGGAAACCACUGAGCCAAAUCCCUAGCCCCACCCUGCUUAAUUUUGUGAAAUCACUUUGUCUCACCAGACUAUAGCCAGACAAUUGAGGAAAUGGGGAAAAAGCUGCUGAAAAAGAUUUAAGAGUGAAGCUGCUAAUUUCAAACUUUUUUCUUUGGCAAUAGAUGAAAGUGCUGACAUGGCAGAUACGGUUCAACUCGCUGUUUUUAAUUAGCAGUAUUAUAGAUUAUGGAUAUAGUAUCACUGAAGAAACAGCUAGGGGCUAGGGAUUUAGCUCAGUGGUUCCAGCGCUUGCAAGGCAAGCGCAAGGACCUGAGUUCGAUCCCCAUUGCCAAAAAAAGAAAACAAAACUAAAAUACAACUAGGGCUGGGGAUUUAGCUCAGUAGUUUUGCCACCUGCUGGGCAAACGCAAGGACCCAA
rnacentral:lncRNA from 1 species